rnacentral:rRNA from 1 species
AUUGAACGCUGGCGGCAUGCCUUACACAUGCAAGUCGAACGGCAGCACGGGAGCAAUCCUGGUGGCGAGUGGCGAACGGGUGAGUAAUAUAUCGGAACGUGCCCAGUCGUGGGGGAUAACGUAGCGAAAGCUACGCUAAUACCGCAUACGAUCUAUGGAUGAAAGCGGGGGAUCGCAGACCUCGCGCGAUUGGAGCGGCCCGAUAUCAGAUUAGGUAGUUGGUGAGGUAAAGGCUCACCCAAGCCGACGAUCUGUAGCUGGUCUGAGAGGACGACCAGCCACACUGGGACUGAGACACGGCCCACGACUCCUACCGGG